GAGAAGAGUUAANAAACAAGGAAACUG
rnacentral:tRNA from 1 species